rnacentral:rRNA from 1 species
UACGAAGGGGGCUAGCGUUGUUCGGAAUUACUGGGCGUAAAGCGCACGUAGGCGGGUCGUUAAGUCAGGGGUGAAAUCCUGGAGCUCAACUCCAGAACUGCCUUUGAUACUGAAGAUCUUGAGUUCGGGAGAGGUGAGUGGAACUGCGAGUGUAGAGGUGAAAUUCGUAGAUAUUCGCAAGAACACCAGUGGCGAAGGCGGCUCACUGGCCCGAUACUGACGCUGAGGCACGAAAGCGUGGGGAGCAAACAGGG